GGCGAAUGUAACCGACCACCAACGGAAGUGAUUGUUUCCUAGCAGCAGAAGCUACGUGUACAAACUUCACUUUUCUUCUUUCAGUUUAAGAAAUGUUCUCGCUGAGCUAAAUAGCCUCCCGGCAGCAACAGCAACUGUGAGUGUUAGCUUAGCCUGCUAGCUGGAAGCAGACAUGAUGCCCUGAGAACAACUGCGCGUCAGGACAAACACUUUGGUGGAGAACAGAUUGUGUUUCUGAUGGAGUUUAAGAAGAGAAAAGUUUCUGCCGUGAUUGUAUGAAAACUUCGUUGCGUUGGAGAAAAGACAACUUGGGGAGAUGGAGGAACCAACACACUGUAGGCUGAUGGGCUCUCACUUUCAAUACAUCCAACAGCUGUUGGUGAUCAAGGAUGAGCUUCCUGCUGAGAUGCCGAACUGGAGUCCCAGCCUAGACCAGGAGAACUUGAAUCCCUCACAGAUUAAAGAGGAAGAGGAGGACACUGAAAUCAUGCAGUUCACAUUUGAUCCUGUAUCUGUUAAAAGUGAAGAUGAUGAAGGAAAUACUCAGAUCUCAAAGCUUCAUCAUAACCAGAUUGAGGAAAACAGACUCUCUGUAGAAUCAGAUGAUGAGGACAAAACUUCAGAUUCUUCAAAGACGGAUGUCGGUAAUGGAAACUGGGAGAAGAGCAGUGAAGCUCAGUCAGGUUUGGACUCCACAAAGAAUAAAACAUUUCCUGUAGGUGAUACAAGCUGCAGGAGAGGUGAGCUGUUACACAGCUGCACUGAAUGUGGUAAAAUAUUCAGCCGCAGACGAAAUUUGUUACGACACAACAGAAUCCAUACAGGGGUAAAACCCUUCAACUGCUCCAUCUGUAGCAAAGCUUUUAUAUGGAAAAGGGACCUAACAAUACACAUGAGAAUACACAGUGAAGAGAAACCUUUCAGCUGCUCCGUCUGUGGAAAACAGUUCAGAAGAAAGGAGAACGUACCGCUUCAUAUGAGAAUUCACACUACAGGAAAACCUUUCUGCUGCUCCAUAUGUGGAAAAACAUUCUUAAGAAAGGCAACCCUAACUUCUCACAUCAAACGUCACACUUCAGAAAAACCUUUCAACUGCACGGUCUGUGGAAAAAAGUUUAAAAAGAAAGAAGACAUAACUCGGCACAUGGUAUGUCACACUGAAAACAAACCUUUCAGUUGCUGCGUGUGUGGACAAAUGUUUAAAAGAAAGGGAAGUGUAACUCAUCACAUGAAAAGUCACACUGAAGAGAAGCCAUUCAGCUGCUCCAUCUGUGGGAAGACAUUCAAAAGGAAAGAAAGUAUAAGUCCUCACAUGAAAAGUCACACUGAAGAGAAACCUUUCAGCUGCUCCAUCUGUGGGAAGACGUUUAAAAGGAGAGAGAGUGUACCUCGCCACAUGGCAUGUCACAGUGAAAACAAACCGUUCAGCUGCUCAAUAUGUGGAAAAACAUUUGGUCGUAAAGAAAGUUUGACGAAUCACAUGUUGAAUCACACUUCAGAGAAACCCUACAGCUGCUCCAUCUGUAACAAGGCUUUUACUUUGAAAGCAACUCUAAUGGAACACACCAGGUUCCACACAGAGGACCGACGGUUUAGCUGUUCUGUCUGCAAAGCGUCUUUCAAAAAAAAAUACUCUCUAGACGUACACACAAAAAUCCACACUGGAGAGAAGCCUUUCAGCUGCUCCAUCUGUAGCCGAAGCUUCAGUCAAGGCGCAACUCUGAGGCGUCACAUGAGACGGCACUCUGAAGAAAAACCCUUCAGCUGCCCCUUCUGUGAUGUCAAGUUCAAAUGGAAAAGUGCUUGUGUGACACACAUUAAAAGACAUGCAGCUGAAUAGUCUUUUGGCUUCACAUACAGAGCUGGAAGUUACAGUCGGUUGUCCAUAUGAGGGCACUCGUGUUCCAAGUGUGAUUCACCUCGAGAUUUUAUUUUGAAGGCGAAUGUAACCAAACACCGAUGGAAGUGAUUGUUUCCCAGCAGCAGAAGCUACGUGUACAAACUUCACUUUUCUUCUUUCAGUUUAAGAAAUGUUCUCGCUGAGCUAAAUAGCCUCCCGGCAGCAACAGCAACUGUGAGUGUUAGCUUAGCCUGCUAGCUGGAAGCAGACAUGAUGCCCUGAGAACAACUGCGCGUCAGGACAAACACUUUGGUGGAGAACAGAUUGUGUUUCUGAUGGAGUUUAAGAAGAGAAAAGUUUCUGCCGUGAUUGUGUGAAAACUUUGUUGCGUUGGAGAAAAGACAACUUAGGGAGAUGGAGGAACCAACACACUGUAGGCAGAUGGGCUCUCACUUUCAAGAGCGCAGAAAAAUCCACACCGAAGAGAAACCUUUCAGCUGCUUGGUCUGUGGUCAAAGUUUCCGACAAAGUACAACUCUAAAACCUCACAUGAAGAAAAACCUUUCAGCGACCCCAUCUGUCAGGCAACAUUUAAAUGGAAGAGUGCCUCCUACAUCCAGCUGAGUAACUGUUCAGCUGCACAGACUGGUUGAAGCUUCAGGAAGGUUGGAAAUUUUUGAAAAGCAGCCCUGUACACCAUCUCCAGUGUUGUUUUUAAAAGAUCCUCUCAAUCGAGCUCAGUCAGAUUGGAAUGACAGCAGCGUUAAGCCAGAUGUUCAGUUGGAUUUAAGGCUAUUCUCCGGCUGGCCCACUCAGACAUUCAGAACCUUUGGAAAAAGAGAAGGGAUGACAGGUUAAAGAAGCCACCAGAUCAACCUGGGCCUUGUGACACUCCAGAACAACACGAAUCCAGCAUGGAACAUUGUCCUGACAUCCAGCAGCUGUUGGUUAUCAAAGAGGAGCUUCCUGCUGAAGACCAGAACUGGAGUUCCAGACCGGACCAGGAGGAUCAGAAGCCCCCACAGAUUAAAGAAGAACAGGAGGAUGCUGAGAUCAUGCAGUUCAUAUUUGAUCCUGUAGCUGUAAAGAGUGAAGAUGAUGAGGAGAAACCCCAGCUGUCAGAGCUUCAUCACAGUAAGACUGAGCUGAGCAGAGACGAUGCAGGACCAGAACCAGAUGAAUGUUUAGAAUCUGAUGAGGAAGACAAAACUUCAGAUUCUUCAGCGACCGACGUCAGCGAUGGAAACUGGGAGGAGAGCGGUGAAGCUGAAUCUGGUUCCGACUCUGUGAGAAACAACAAAUUCCCUGUAGGUGAUAGAAGCUGUGAGAGAGAUGAGAAGGUUCACAUCUGUGGUGAAUGUGGUAAAGCAUUUAAACGAAGAUCAUGUUUGGUACGACACAACAGAAUCCAUACAGGAGAGAAACCUUUCAGCUGCUCCAUCUGUAACAAAGCUUUCACCUGGAAACGAGGCUUAGUUAUACACAUGAGAACGCACAGCGGAGAGAAACCUUUCAGCUGCUCGGUCUGUGGUCAGAAAUUCUCAAGGAAGGAGUCUGUGACCUCACACAUGAGAUGUCACUCAACAGAAAAACCUUUCAGCUGCUCUGUCUGUGGGAAAAAAUUCAAUAGGAAGGAGAAUGUUAUUCGGCACAUGAGAUGUCACACUGAAGAAAAACCGUUCAGCUGCUCCAUCUGUGGACAAAGGUUUGGCAGGAAGGAAAGCUUAAGCUAUCACAUGACUCAUCACACUGCAGAAAAACCCUACAGCUGCUCCGUCUGUAACAAAGCUUUUACUUUGAAAGUAACUUUAUUGUACCAUAAAAGAUUUCACACAGAGGACCGACCAUUCAGCUGUUCGGUCUGUAAAACGGCUUUUAAAAGAAAAGCCUAUCUGACAGAACACAAAAAAAUACACACUGGGGAGAAGCCAUUCAGCUGUUCGGUCUGCGGCCGCAGCUUCCGUCAGUCUAACAGCCUGAAGCGUCACAUGAGAAGUCACACAGAAGAAAAACCUUUCAGCUGCCACGUGUGUCAGGCAACAUUCAAAUGGAAAAGUGCUUGUGUGAAACAUGUGAAAAAUCACACUGGUAAAUAACCAGUGAGGUAGAGAUGCAGCGUCUAUUAAACAUAUUCAUACCCUUAAAGAAUUUUCCACAUUUUCUCAUGCUACAAGAAGAAACGGCAAUUUACUUUAUUGGGUUUUCAUCAAACCAACAUGAAUUAGUCCAUAAUUGUGUGUUGGGAGGAGGAGGAUUCUUUUUCAGUAUCAUUUUAUCAGUUACCGCAAUCGCUUGAUGGUAUUUGUGAGGUUUUGGGAGAAUUACUUAUUCACCAAAGGCCUGGUUGUCUUGGAAAGCUUUAUUAAUGAAUGGAAUCUGUAGGGAAGGUGGGAAGAGUUGAUCGGAAGAUGGAUGAAGCAAAAUAUGAGGCAAUCCUGGAAGAAAAUAAGGAAGUCAGUGGGCACAACUCCAAUGUAGAAAAAAGGGAAAAGUAGAUGGGUGCACGGUUCUGAAGAAACACAAAAAACUCUGGGUAAUCGGCACACCAUGAUUAAAUCUUAAGAAUCCUGGGAGAUAACUUGUUAAAGGCUGCAAAAAAGCAUGCGUCUGGGACGGAGGCAGACACAUGCAGUCUGACAGUUAGAGCCGAGCAGAAGAAAGCCAUACAGGAAGGCCUUCCUGCCUCAGAGCGCUCACCACCAAUGUCAUUGAAAGUGCCGAGUAAGCAGCUAGUGGUCCAUUCAGAGAGUUUGAAAGUAAGAACCUGGGAGAUGUGUGGGGCUGUCCAGACUAAUUCAAUAAAUUAGAAUAUUAUUGAAAAGUUCAUUCACUAAGUAAAACACAUUAUAUAGUUUAAUUAUAGACGGCCUGAUUUUUUUUUUUUUUAAAGCCUGUUUAAAGAGGGCUAAUGAAAGCAGCACAUUUAAAAUUAGAUUGUUACAUCAGACCAAUAAAUACAUCUUUAAUAGAAAGAUGUGGGCUAAAAGUAUGUUUUUAAUACCUCCUUAAAGGUUAGUUUCAAAAGGUACUUUUAGGGUGUAUUUACACCAGCCACUUUUGGUCCGCCUUAAAUGGACCAGAGUUCGGUUUCACGUUAGUCCCGGUCUUUUGUGCAGGUGUGAAUAUACUCAAACUCAGGUGUGGACGAAACGAGACCGAGAACCUCUUUUUCAGGUGGUCUCAGUCCGCUUCCAAACAAACUCUGGUGCUGUUCGCUUCUGGUGUUUGUAUACGAACCGGCCCUGAUUCAACCCAACUACAGGAAACUGGAGCUCUUGACCCUCACAGUGAUAUUGCAGCUGUAAUAAUGGCACAAAUAUUCAGAACAGGGGCUGCUUGCAGGACUUCCAGAGUAGUUGUCCUCCAUUUCCUGGUCUGUGCUCAUUUCUGUCUGGGAGCAACGAUUGUCACACUUUAUUUACAAGUUAGAGUUCACUUGCAAAAAGUACUAGGUGAAAGUGCACCUAACGAAAAAAAUAAAGCCCGUUUUUGUGAAUACACCUUUAAUCUGACAAACGGACCACGUCGAAACGCAUGUUGUCAUUAAAUGUGGUCAUGUGUCUGAAUGUUCCAGUCAAAGCUCAGGUCUAGGUUCAAUUGAGAAUCUGUGGUGAGAGUUAAAUAUUGAUGUUUACUGACACUCUUCGUCCAAUCUGACAGAGGUGAGCUAUUUUCAAUCAAAAAGAUUUCCUUCUACUUCACAAUUGUACAACAUUAAAUCCCAAGUAAAUACACAGAUGUGUGUGGUUUUAAAGUGACAAAAAUGUGCAAAAUCCAGGGGUAUGAAUACUUUUGUAAGGCACUGGAUCUCAGUGGACACUAAGUGUUACAACUUUCUCUGUCAUUGAGUUGUGAUGUUGUGAUUCUUUAAUCGAUGUGUAAUCUGAAAUAAACUGCUGCAUGUCGGA